rnacentral:rRNA from 1 species
UACGAAGGGGGCUAGCGUUGUUCGGAAUUACUGGGCGUAAAGCGCACGUAGGCGGAUAUUUAAGUCAGGGGUGAAAUCCCAGAGCUCAACUCUGGAACUGCCUUUGAUACUGGGUAUCUUGAGUAUGGAAGAGGUAAGUGGAAUUGCGAGUGUAGAGGUGAAAUUCGUAGAUAUUCGCAGGAACACCAGUGGCGAAGGCGGCUUACUGGUCCAUUACUGACGCUG